UCCCUGGUAGCUCAGAUGGUAAAGCAUCUGUCUACAAUGCAGGAGACCCAGGUUCAAUCCCUGGGUCGGGAA
rnacentral:tRNA from 1 species